rnacentral:tRNA from 1 species
GGCCAGUUAGCUCAGUCGGUUGAGCGCGGUGCUGAAAACACUGAGGCCACGGGUUUGAUUCCUGCUCGAUCCC